rnacentral:rRNA from 1 species
UUGAACGCUGGCGGCAUGCUUUACACAUGCAAGUCGCACGGCAGCACAGGGAGCUUGCUCCUGGGUGGCGAGUGGCGAACGGGUGAGUAAUGUAUCGGAACGUGCCUGGUAGUGGGGGAUAACUACUCGAAAGAGUGGCUAAUACCGCAUGAGAUCUUUGGAUGAAAGCGGGGGACCUUCGGGCCUCGUGCUACUGGAGCGGCCGAUAUCAGAUUAGGUUGUUGGUGGGGUAAAGGCCUACCAAGCCUGCGAUCUGUAGCUGGUCUGAGAGGACGACCAGCCACACUGGGACUGAGACACGGCCCAGACUCCUACGGGAGGCAGCAGUGGGGAAUUUUGGACAAUGGGCGCAAGCCUGAUCCAGCAAUGCCGCGUGCAGGACGAAGGCCUUCGGGUUGUAAACUGCUUUUGUACAGAACGAAAAGUCUCUGGCUAAUAUCUAGAGAUCAUGACGGUACUGUAAGAAUAAGCACCGGCUAACUACGUG